UGGGACAGAUGUUGUCCCUCCUUCCGCUGAGCAGGGCUUAAGCACCCAGUGUUACUGACCUGGUGCAGAGUCCCAGGUUGCCCGAGGCCUGUGGGCAGGCUCGCGGCCCCGUGUGGGCUGUGUUGGGUUACUCUCCGCCUGAAGGGUGUAGAAGAUCCAUUCUAGCAUGGCUGUCACCUGGAUGGUGUAAAGGGGAGAUGGAGAAGAAUCAAUCUGCUUGUUUCCUUGGAGGAGCUCCAGGCUUCGCCUUCACUUUGAACAUCAUCUCCUGGCUUCCAGUGCAGACUCUUCAGCUUCCAGCUCAGACUUUUCAGCCUUCCCACAUAAACUCUUCAGCCUUCCAUCACAG
rnacentral:lncRNA from 1 species